rnacentral:rRNA from 1 species
UACAGAGGGGGCAAGCGUUGUUCGGAAUUACUGGGCGUAAAGGGCGCGUAGGCGGCCUGCUAAGUCGAACGUGAAAUCCCUGGGCUCAACCCAGGAACUGCGUCCGAUACUGGUUGGCUUGAAUUCGGGAGAGGGAUGCGGAAUUCCAGGUGUAGCGGUGAAAUGCGUAGAUAUCUGGAGGAACACCGGUGGCGAAGGCGGCAUCCUGGACCAAUAUUGACGCUGAGGAGCGAAAGCCAGGGGAGCAAACGGG